AGUGAACGCUGGCGGUAGGCCUAACACAUGCAAGUCGAACGGCAGCACAGGAGAGCUUGCUCUCUGGGUGGCGAGUGGCGGACGGGUGAGGAAUACAUCGGAAUCUACUUUUUCGUGGGGGAUAACGUAGGGAAACUUACGCUAAUACCGCAUACGACCUACGGGUGAAAGCAGGGGACCUUCGGGCCUUGCGCGAUUGAAUGAGCCGAUGUCGGAUUAGCUAGUUGGCGGGGUAAAGGCCCACCAAGGCGACGAUCCGUAGCUGGUCUGGGGGAAUGAGAAGCCAACGGGGAACGGGGACACGGUCGGGCUCCCUACGGGAGCAGGCGGUGGGGAAUAUUGGACAAUGGGCGCAAGCCUGACCCAGCCAUACGGGGUGGGGGAGGAAGGCCUUGGGUUUGUAAAGCCCUUUUGUUGGGAAAGAAAUCCAGCUGGCUAAUCCCCGGUUGGGAUGACGGUACCAAAAGAAUAAGCACCGGCUAACUUCGUGCCAGCCGCCGCGGUAA
rnacentral:rRNA from 1 species